rnacentral:lncRNA from 1 species
UACUAACAAUUCUACGUAUAUUAUACAUGUAAAAAGACUCAAAUUUUCAAAGAUAAAAUAGUUAUUCUAACCGAUAUUAAGUCUUGUCUGGACUUACCACAACUCUCGUUCCUGGUUAUAGGUUGCAAAGCCUUAGGCCGUAUCCGAGAGGUCAGAUACUUAUGGUUGGAAGACAUUGGUGAAAGAAUUCGUUUAGGGAACCUUGGUUGGGCAACUAUGAGGGUCCUAAGUAACGCCCUUGAUCUAUAAUUAUUCCUAAAACAAGUCGGGGUGUUACAAGCGUGGUCUCAGAUCAUGGUAACACGAUGC